UCUUGAUGACAGUAGGAACAGGAGAGCUGUUCCUCCUGGAACCGAUGGGCUUUCAGAGAAAAAGUUGCUCAUGUUAUGUUGGUUUGGGGUUUGUUUUUAUUUUUUGUUUGUUUCCAUUUGGUUUGGUUUUCCACCUCUCCAGGUCAGCUCAGGACAAAAAGUCAAUUCAAAUCCAAAGGUAUCGCUGAACUUAUCAGAACCAUUUGUCUUCCUUGACUUUAAAACGCAGGCAGAAAAUGUUGCAAAAUAAGAUUUCCAGUCCUUCUGGCCCCUGCGGGUGCCAAGAAUGCCCCAUGACUGCCCUCUGAGAGGCAACAGCCCUUCAGAUCAUCAGGAAACCCUGGAGCUUGCUAAUAAAAAGAAAGUGAUUUUCCAUACAAAGUAAACAGAUCCCUCCUGCACAUCUAAAUGGACUUGGCUUCAGAUGCGGGUGAAGGCUUGGGGUGGAGUUUUAAUUUUCAUAUUACAGAAGCUCAUUCUGAGCUUGAAUUUUCCUGUAAUUCUUCAAAGCACAACAGAACCCCCUGUCAGGAUAUAUCCAGCAACUGCAUUCUUGGAGCAGCUAUAAAUUAGCUUGCCUUCCCUUUUCCCUCUUGACCUUGAGGCUCCUUUCGGGGACCCAACAGAAGCCCUUUAGGAAGCAGGAAGUGAAGCUUAGAGGAUCCGUUAUCUAGAAGGAUCUUUCCUGUAGAAUCUAGUCUUCUUCAGUUUCCCCCCAAAUGGAAGCCUGCUCUCCAGUAUCGACCUACCAUAAUCGAUUCCAAACCCAAAGCAUCAUCUCUCUGGGCUGAAUUGCUUUGUCAUUGCACAGCUGAGCAGGAGAUUUCUAUACUAAAAUUUUCCGUGUGAAUUAGAAGACAAAAAGAAAGAGAGAACUCUUUUCCCUAACAUCAUCUUUUUAUUUAUGAAACACUUCUGAGCUUAUUGGCACAAAGGCACAACCUAACGUAGCAUACAGGGUGGUCCAUUUAAAACAGUCCCCUUUAAAGAGGAUGGCUUUAAGUGUGGCCCAUUGUAAGUGGGUCACCAGAUGUAUUGUUAUGUCAGUCCUUCCUGGCAUUGUAAAAAUAGGGAAGACUUUCAGGAGUUGGGAGUGUGUGUGGAAAACACAGAGAGGCUGGGGGAGCUUUAGAACCAUGAGAAUAAAGGAAUCUACCAGGAGGCUUGAUAACUGGGAAAUAAAAUACAAGUAAACAAACGGGAAAUGGGUUCAAUCUCGAUGCUAAUAUCUUUGUGGUCACAGGAGAGAUCAUGGUCCUCACACUCCAGAUUAAAAGCAAUCCAUCAUAAUUUCUGUCGGAAAUGAAAAUUUAAAUAUGCCCCUUUGUACACCUAGUCUCCUGGCCUCACCGUCCGUCCUCAUCGCCAUGGGUUAAACCUGACUUGAGUAUCACACACCAGACCCCAGACCAAGGACUGUGUGAUGAGAGCUCAUCUGUCCUUUGCCAAGAUUCUAAUGUUCCACUCUAGACAAUCUGGGCUCCUGGCUCCUGAAACUGCUUCUUCUGUGGCCAGGCCUUGAGGCCCCAGGAUCUGCCCACAUUCCAGAGAGGGUUAGGGUUUCUCAUUAAUCUCUGUCUGGACCCUGUCCUCAGAUUAGCAGCCACUGAAAUGCAAUCCCUGUAAUGAGAAAUGAGCAGCCUGACCCAUGUUGUUUCUCUGAGACCCGUUGUCUCCAACUUCUCACCUCUCCCAGGCACAGCACGUUGACUGAAAGAAGCCAUUACUGUGUUCUCACUGCCGAGCCAUCACCCAUCACUCCAGAAAGUGUGCAAAGGAGUCCUUCCUUCACAGCUUGACAUCUCUGCCCACAUUUGGCACGAACAGAGGAAGCCUCCCAAGGUAGAGAAAGGGGAUGCACUUAGGUUCUAGAGAGCAGAGCUGACACUCUUUCCCAGAGUGAAAAUAAAAGAGCAGGGUCUAGAAAGGAUGGAUUCUUUAACAAUU